GUGAGGAAUAUUGGUCAAUGGGCGAUGGCCUGAACCAGCCAAGUAGCGUGAAGGAUGACUGCCCUAUGGGUUGUAAACUUCUUUUAUAUGGGAAUAAAGUGGUCCACGUGUGGAUUUUUGUAUGUACCAUAUGAAUAAGGAUCGGCUAACUCCGUGCCAGCAGCCGCGGUAAUACGGAGGAUCCGAGCGUUAUCCGGAUUUAUUGGGUUUAAAGGGAGCGUAGGUGGACAGUUAAGUCAGUUGUGAAAGUUUGCGGCUCAACCGUAAAAUUGCAGUUGAUACUGGCUGUCUUGAGUACAGUAGAGGUGGGCGGAAUUCGUGGUGUAGCGGUGAAAUGCUUAGAUAUCACGAAGAACUCCGAUUGCGAAGGCAGCUCACUGGACUGCAACUGACACUGAUGCUCGAAAGUGUGGGUAUCAAACAGG
rnacentral:rRNA from 1 species